CACGUAGGGCGCGAGCGUUGUCCGGAAUUAUUGGGCGUAAAGAGCUCGUAGGCGGCCUGUUGCGUCCGCUGUGAAAGUCCGGGGCUCAACCCCGGAUCGGCCGUGCGGACUGGGGAGCUCGAGUUCUGUAGAGGCGGGUGGAAUUCCGGGUGUAGCGGUGGAAUGCGUAGAGAUCCGGAAGAACACCGGUGGCGAAGGCGGCCCGCUGGGCAGAGACUGACGCUGAGGCGCGACAGCGUGGGGAGCAAACAGG
rnacentral:rRNA from 1 species